rnacentral:rRNA from 1 species
AGUGAACGCUGGCGGUAGGCCUAACACAUGCAAGUCGAACGGCAGCACAGUAAGAGCUUGCUCUUACGGGUGGCGAGUGGCGGACGGGUGAGGAGUACAUCGGAAUCUACUUUUUCGUGGGGGAUAACGUAGGGAAACUUACGCUAAUACCGCAUACGACCUACGGGUGAAAGCAGGGGAUCUUCGGACCUUGCGCGAUUGAAUGAGCCGAUGUCGGAUUAGCUAGUUGGCGGGGUAAAGGCCCACCAAGGCGACGAUCCGUAGCUGGUCUGAGAGGAUGAUCAGCCACACUGGAACUGAGACACGGUCCAGACUCCUACGGGAGGCAGCAGUGGGGAAUAUUGGACAAUGGGCGCAAGCCUGAUCCAGCCAUACCGCGUGGGUGAAGAAGGCCUUCGGGUUGUAAAGCCCUUUUGUUGGGAAAGAAAAGCAGCAGGUUAAUACCCCGCCGUUCUGACGGUACCCAAAGAAUAAGCACCGGCUAACUUCGUG